rnacentral:rRNA from 1 species
GUUAAGCGACUAAGCGUACACGGUGGAUGCCCUGGCAGUCAGAGGCGAUGAAGGACGUGCUAAUCUGCGAUAAGCGUCGGUAAGGUGAUAUGAACCGUUAUAACCGGCGAUUUCCGAAUGGGGAAACCCAGUGUGUUUCGACACACUAUCAUUAACUGAAUCCAUAGGUUAAUGAGGCGAACCGGGGGAACUGAAACAUCUAAGUACCCCGAGGAAAAGAAAUCAACCGAGAUUCCCCCAGUAGCGGCGAGCGAACGGGGAGCAGCCCAGAGCCUGAAUCAGUGUGUGUGUUAGUGGAAGCGUCUGGAAAGGCGCGCGAUACAGGGUGACAGCCCCGUACACAAAAAUGCACAUGCUGUGAGCUCGAUGAGUAGGGCGGGACACGUGGUAUCCUGUCUGAAUAUGGGGGGACCAUCCUCCAAGGCUAAAUACUCCUGACUGACCGAUAGUGAACCAGUACCGUGAGGGAAAGGCGAAAAGAACCCCGGCGAGGGGAGUGAAAAAGAACCUGAAACCGUGUACGUACAAGCAGUGGGAGCACGCUUAGGCGUGUGACUGCGUACCUUUUGUAUAAUGGGUCAGCGACUUAUAUUCUGUAGCAAGGUUAACCGAAUAGGGGAGCCGAAGGGAAACCGAGUCUUAACUGGGCGUUAAGUUGCAGGGUAUAGACCCGAAACCCGGUGAUCUAGCCAUGGGCAGGUUGAAGGUUGGGUAACACUAACUGGAGGACCGAACCGACUAAUGUUGAAAAAUUAGCGGAUGACUUGUGGCUGGGGGUGAAAGGCCAAUCAAACCGGGAGAUAGCUGGUUCUCCCCGAAAGCUAUUUAGGUAGCGCCUCGUGAAUUCAUCUCCGGGGGUAGAGCACUGUUUCGGCAAGGGGGUCAUCCCGACUUACCAACCCGAUGCAAACUGCGAAUACCGGAGAAUGUUAUCACGGGAGACACACGGCGGGUGCUAACGUCCGUCGUGAAGAGGGAAACAACCCAGACCGCCAGCUAAGGUCCCAAAGUCAUGGUUAAGUGGGAAACGAUGUGGGAAGGCCCAGACAGCCAGGAUGUUGGCUUAGAAGCAGCCAUCAUUUAAAGAAAGCGUAAUAGCUCACUGGUCGAGUCGGCCUGCGCGGAAGAUGUAACGGGGCUAAACCAUGCACCGAAGCUGCGGCAGCGACACUAUGUGUUGUUGGGUAGGGGAGCGUUCUGUAAGCCUGUGAAGGUGUGCUGUGAGGCAUGCUGGAGGUAUCAGAAGUGCGAAUGCUGACAUAAGUAACGAUAAAGCGGGUGAAAAGCCCGCUCGCCGGAAGACCAAGGGUUCCUGUCCAACGUUAAUCGGGGCAGGGUGAGUCGACCCCUAAGGCGAGGCCGAAAGGCGUAGUCGAUGGGAAACAGGUUAAUAUUCCUGUACUUGGUGUUACUGCGAAGGGGGGACGGAGAAGGCUAUGUUGGCCGGGCGACGGUUGUCCCGGUUUAAGCGUGUAGGCUGGUUUUCCAGGCAAAUCCGGAAAAUCAAGGCUGAGGCGUGAUGACGAGGCACUACGGUGCUGAAGCAACAAAUGCCCUGCUUCCAGGAAAAGCCUCUAAGCAUCAGGUAACAUCAAAUCGUACCCCAAACCGACACAGGUGGUCAGGUAGAGAAUACCAAGGCGCUUGAGAGAACUCGGGUGAAGGAACUAGGCAAAAUGGUGCCGUAACUUCGGGAGAAGGCACGCUGAUAUGUAGGUGAAGCGACUUGCUCGUGGAGCUGAAAUCAGUCGAAGAUACCAGCUGGCUGCAACUGUUUAUUAAAAACACAGCACUGUGCAAACACGAAAGUGGACGUAUACGGUGUGACGCCUGCCCGGUGCCGGAAGGUUAAUUGAUGGGGUCAGCGCAAGCGAAGCUCUUGAUCGAAGCCCCGGUAAACGGCGGCCGUAACUAUAACGGUCCUAAGGUAGCGAAAUUCCUUGUCGGGUAAGUUCCGACCUGCACGAAUGGCGUAAUGAUGGCCAGGCUGUCUCCACCCGAGACUCAGUGAAAUUGAACUCGCUGUGAAGAUGCAGUGUACCCGCGGCAAGACGGAAAGACCCCGUGAACCUUUACUAUAGCUUGACACUGAACAUUGAGCCUUGAUGUGUAGGAUAGGUGGGAGGCUUUGAAGUGUGGACGCCAGUCUGCAUGGAGCCGACCUUGAAAUACCACCCUUUAAUGUUUGAUGUUCUAACGUGGACCCGUGAUCCGGGUUGCGGACAGUGUCUGGUGGGUAGUUUGACUGGGGCGGUCUCCUCCUAAAGAGUAACGGAGGAGCACGAAGGUUGGCUAAUCCUGGUCGGACAUCAGGAGGUUAGUGCAAUGGCAUAAGCCAGCUUGACUGCGAGCGUGACGGCGCGAGCAGGUGCGAAAGCAGGUCAUAGUGAUCCGGUGGUUCUGAAUGGAAGGGCCAUCGCUCAACGGAUAAAAGGUACUCCGGGGAUAACAGGCUGAUACCGCCCAAGAGUUCAUAUCGACGGCGGUGUUUGGCACCUCGAUGUCGGCUCAUCACAUCCUGGGGCUGAAGUAGGUCCCAAGGGUAUGGCUGUUCGCCAUUUAAAGUGGUACGCGAGCUGGGUUUAGAACGUCGUGAGACAGUUCGGUCCCUAUCUGCCGUGGGCGCUGGAGAACUGAGGGGGGCUGCUCCUAGUACGAGAGGACCGGAGUGGACGCAUCACUGGUGUU